rnacentral:tRNA from 1 species
GCCGGAAUAGCUCAGUUGGUAGAGCGCCACUUUUGUAAAGUGGAUGUCGUGGGUUCGAAUCCCUCUUCCGGCUCCA